rnacentral:lncRNA from 7 species
GCUCGGGAGUAGCAGGGAUGGUGUGCUGUCCCACAGGAGGACAUGCAGAUGAGGAUAAGCCCCGGCAAGUUGGCUGGGGCUUCUUCUCCCCCCCGGCCGUGCCCUGGGGGCAGCCUGGGGCUCUGUGACUCAUCUGGAGGCGCAGCACCAAGUCCUGCACGGCCUGACUGGCUGCGAGGGGACUGCGGGCUCCCACAGCACCAGGAACGGGCCGUCGGCUCCUCCUGCAGGCAGGCUUGAGGUGGUGCAGGGCAAGUCCUUUGCCUCACCUUGGCCUGUGAUCCAGGAGUCAGCCCUGCCCGCUCGGUGCGGAUGGGGAUGGGGAAGGCAGCAUGAAGCAGGGACCAAGGCCCCAGAAUAGCGUCCACUGCCCUCCCAGCACGGGCAGCUGCCAAGUCCUCCCUUGCACUGGCCACACGGUGCAUAUGGAAAGAGCUGGGUUCUCACAUUGCUGAAGACGUGAGCUUCCAGGCGCUCCCACUUAUGUGACAGUAACUUAGUAACUUCUGUUCUCUUAGGCAGCCUGGAAGGCCACCUAUAUCCUGGGCGGAACUAGAAAAGGGGCGGGCAGCAGGGAGAGGGAGGUGAUUGGACUGUCCCCCUCAACUUGGCUCCUGUGAGGCCCCAUCCGGAGGACUGCGUCCAGGCCUGGGGUCUCCAGCACAAGAAGGACGUGCACUUAUCACUCGACAGCGAUAAGAACCCUCCCUGCUGAGGAGUCCCGUCAAACGCUGGCUUGCAGU